rnacentral:lncRNA from 1 species
CUAACUGACUUGCUCGAAAUAUUAUUGAGCAUAAGACAAGCUGUUUCAAGUAUAUAUCUUCAAAAAAAAUUGGUAGAGUUACAAACCCCAUCAUGGAUCGAACCAUACCCAACAAGAUUCGAUUCUUCCUUUCUGAGAUGCCAUUAUGCUGUGGUAUCUCUAGAGGGGUCCAUUAGGAGAGAAUCCUAUUCUCUCCUAAAUAUGUCAGAAAUUCACUGAAAGGUAUUCAUCUCCUCGAUC